rnacentral:rRNA from 1 species
CAGCCGCCGCGGUAAUACGUAGGGUGCGAGCGUUAAUCGGAUUUACUGGGCGUAAAGCGUGCGCAGGCGGCCCGUUAAGACAGGUGUGAAAUCCCUGGGCUCAACCUAGGAAUUGCGCUUGUGACUGGCGGGCUCGAGUACGGUAGAGGGGGGUGGAAUUCCUGGUGUAGCAGUGAAAUGCGUAGAGAUGAGGAGGAACACCGAUGGCGAAGGCAGCCCCCUGGGCCUGGCCUGACGCUCAUGCACGAAAGCUUGGGGAGCAAACAGGAUUAGAUACCCUGGUAGUCCACGCCCUAAACGAUGGGUACUAGCCGUUUGGUGCGCGAUAGCGCUGAGUGGCGAAGCUAACGCGUGAAGUACCCCGCCUGGGGAGUACGGCCGCAAGGUUGAAACUUAAAGGAAUUGGCGGG